UACGGAGGGGACUAGCGUUGUUCGGAAUUACUGGGCGUAAAGCGCACGUAGGCGGAUUUGUAAGUCAGGGGUGAAAUCCCGGGGCUCAACCUCGGAACUGCCUUUGAUACUGCAAAUCUCGAGUCCGGAAGAGGUGAGUGGAAUUCCUAGUGUAGAGGUGAAAUUCGUAGAUAUUAGGAAGAACACCAGUGGCGAAGGCGGCUCACUGGUCCGGUACUGACGCUGAGGUGCGAAAGCGUGGGAGCAAACAGG
rnacentral:rRNA from 1 species